rnacentral:rRNA from 1 species
GACGAACGCUGGCGGCAGGCAUAACACAUGCAAGUCGAGCGGAGCGGCGGACGGGUGAGUAAUGCCUAGGAAUCUGCCUGGUAGUGUGGGAUGACGUCCGAAAACGGGCCCUAAUACCGCAUACUAUCAGAUGAGCCUAGGUCGGAUUAGCUCGUUGGUGGGGUAAAGGCCUAACAAGGCGACAAUCCGUAACUGGUCUGAGAGGAUGAUCAGUCACACUGGAACGUAGGCACGGUCCAGACUCCUACGGUAGGCAGGAGUGGAGAAGAUUGGACAAUGGGCGAAAGCCUGAUCCAGCCAUGCCGCGUGUGUGAAGGAGGUCUUCGGAUUGUAAAGCACUAUAAGUUGGGAGGCGUUACCAACAGAAUAAGCACCGGCUAACUUCGUGCCAGCAGCCGCGGUAAUAC